rnacentral:rRNA from 1 species
GAUUGCCCCAGUAACGGCGAGUGAAGCGGCAAGAGCUCAAAUUUGAAAUCUGGCCUCCCCCGGGGGCCCGAGUUGUAAUUUGCAGAGGAUGCUUCGGGUGCGGCCACCGUAUAAGUUCCUUGGAACAGGACGUCAGAGAGGGUGAGAAUCCCGUCUUGGGCGGGCGGUCCGCGCCCGUGUGAAGCUCCUUCGACGAGUCGAGUUGUUUGGGAAUGCAGCUCUAAGCGGGUGGUAAAUUUCAUCUAAAGCUAAAUAUUGGCCGGAGACCGAUAGCGCACAAGUAGAGUGAUCGAAGGGUUAAAAGCACCUUGAAAAGGGAGUUAAACAGCACGUGAAAUUGUUGAAAGGGAAGCGCUUGCGGCCAGACUCGGGGGCGGGGUUCAGCGGGUGCUCGUCGCCCGUGUAUUCCUCGUCUCCCGGGCCAGCAUCAGUUUCGACGGCCGGUCAAAGGCCCCCGGAAUGUGUCGUCUCUCGGGACGUCUUAUAGCCGGGGGUGCAAUGCGGCCCGUCGGGACUGAGGAACGCGCUCCGGCUCGGAUGCUGGCGUAAUGGCCG